AGAGUUUGAUCAUGGCUCAGGGCUAACGCUGGCGGCGUGUCUUAGCCAUGCAAGUCGAGCGGUCCUAUGGGGCGACCUAUAGGAUAGCGGCGGACGGCGGAGUAACACGUAGCUAACCUACCCUCCGGACGGGGAUAACCAUUCGAAAGGGUGGCUAAUACCCGAUGGAGUCAUCCGCAAGGGUGAUGAAAGGUGGGCCUCUGUUUACAAGCUCAUGCCGGGGGAGGGGGCUGCGGCCUAUCAGGUAGUUGGUGGGGUAAAGGCCCACCAAGCCUAUGACGGGUAGCCGGCCUGAGAGGGUGACCGGCCCGAGGGACACUGAGACACGGGUCCCACUCCUACGGGAGGCAGCAGGCUAGAAAUUUGGGCAAUGGGGGAAACCCUGACCCAGUGACGCCGCGUGCAGGAAGGAGCCCUUCGGGGUGUAAACUGCUGUCGUGCGGGGCGAAGGGUUUGUAGGCGAAUAGUCUAUAGACUUGACGGUACCGCAGGAGGAAGCCCAGGCUAACCUCGUGCCAGCAGCCGCGGUAAUACGGGGUGGGCGAGCGUUGCCCGGAAUUACUGGGUUUAAAGGGGGUGUAGGCGGUCUGGAUAGUCAGGUGUGUAAUCCAAUCGCUCAACGAUUGGACUGCAUCUGAUACUUUCAGGCUAGAGGGCGGUAGAGGAGAGCGGAACUCCCGGUGUAGCGGUGAAAUGCGUAGAUAUCGGGAGGAACGCCGGUGGCGAAAGCGGCUCUCUGGGCCGUUCCUGACGCUGAGGCCCGAAAGCUGGGGGAGCGAAAGGGAUUAGAUACCCCUGUAGUCCCAGCCGUAACGAUGGGCACUGGUGUGCCUCUAUAUAGGGGUGUGCCGACGGGAAACCAUUUAAGUGCCCCACCUGGGGAGUACGCCCGCAGGGUGAAACUCCAAUGAAUUGACGG
rnacentral:rRNA from 1 species